GCCCGGCCCUCCCUCCCCCUCCCCUCCGCUGGCACCGGCACCGAGGCCGCCGCUGGCGGAACAAAAGGCACCUUUUCUCUCCCUCCAUGUUUUUUCUCCCCAAACCCGACGCCCGCCGCGGGGCCGGCCGCGUCCCCCCUAAUUCCCCAGCGCUGAUCCCGGCCCGGCUUUUCAUUAGGGCGUUCCGGGAAUCCCAUUUUUAGGGAGGCGGGCAGCCUCUGUCCUCAGCUGAUCUCGACACGGGUGAAGGGUAAACCCCGAGCUAAUCUCUUCCGACGCGGCCCGGCUUUAUUCGCCGCACGAAGCGCAGCCGGGGAGCCGGCCCCGCCUCAGGAGCAGCCUGCGGGCACUGCUGAAGCCCGGGCGGGCCACCCCAAAAACGUGACCGGGGAAAGCGGCCUCCCUCGGCGCGGCCGGGCCCCUCCAGCCCCCCAGGAGCCACAGCCAGAAGAAUCCUCAGAUGAUCGUCUGUCACCUAAGAAGUCAACUUAGAAAACACGCAGAAGGAAUCAUAUUAAACUAUAGUGAACGUGACCUGGAAGUUAGACAGGGACAAUUUCAGUAUAACGUUGUGACAAUUCCCAGCAAGCUUGACACAAUGAUAAAUACAAUUUGUUCCUUGUAAUACACGUUAUUAUUAAUUAACGUGGUUCUUUCGGGUUA